CGGCCGCGGUAUCCUGACCGUGCAAAGGUAGCAUAAUCAUUUGUUCCUUAAUUAGGGACUUGUAUGAAUGGCCCCACGAGGGUUUGACUGUCUCUUACUUUUAAUCAGUGAAAUUGACCUUCCCGUGAAGAGGCGGGAAUGAAAAAAUAAGACGAGAAGACCCUAUGGAGCUUUAAUUAACGUGUUCUGAACAAUAAAUUUUGGUUGGGGUGACCUCGGAGUAUAACAAAACCUCCAAACCAAGACUUACCAGUCAAGGUCAAUCUUAUUGAUCAACGAAACAAGUUACCCUAGGGAUAACAGCGCAAUCCUAUUUGAGAGUUCAUAUCGACAAUAGGGUUUACGACCUCGAUGUUGGAUCAGGACACCCAAAUGGUGCAGCAGCU
rnacentral:rRNA from 1 species